CUAUCCACCGGUCCUGGGAAUCAUCAUGAGGCUCACCUGGACUCUCCAUUACCUCACUCAUUACCUCCCCUUUAUCUGGCACUCCCUUAGGUUCCUUCCCCAGCUUUUACUCACCUUCGGCACCUGUAAAUAAGUACCACCAUUUUGUACCUGAAUCCUACCUGAUUCCUGAUGUUUGACAUCCCCCUGAUAAGACUGCACGGUUCACUAUCCUACAGCCGGAGUAACAUCAAAGGGAAACUUCAGCAGAAUAACUGAUCUUUACAACAGCCCUGAAGACAGACAGGACGUGAAGUGUUGCAGCAUGGGUGGUGCUGUGGCAUGUUUC